CCGCGGGCCUGCGAGCACGUGGUGCCUGGAGGACUGAGGCGGCGGCGGCGGCGGGUCCUCCAAGCAACCGGCGGUGAGAGUCGGCGCUUCCUGGUUGCGGGGCCUCGGAGGUUUCUCGUUUUAUAGCUGGUGUGGGUUUGUCACCGUCACGGCAACCGAGAAGCGGUGAAAAACCUCGCUGUACAUGCAAUCCGGACAGACCGCAUGCGUAGAAGAAGGAAAAACAGUAACAAUGCAGAAUAAAGUGCAACAGCUACAGGAAAAGGUGCAGUGCAGUUUGUUUACAGAUCCUGUUUACAGUUACUGUUCGAUAGAUUUGCUGAGCACGGGGCCGGAUGGUGGCGCAGUGACAUCAGCGCUGGACUCUGGAACGGAGGUUCCCGGGUUCGAACCCAGCCGGGUCCACUCCCGAGUACGCUUUCCAUCCGUGCCGGGUUGAGUGUCGAGGUCGCAACUCGACCCCGUAAAAUGAAAGGGGAAAAUACUGCGAAACGUCUGUGGGAGGAGUGGCGCGUCACACAGUCUCUCUCUCUCGCUCCGCGCCUUGUAAAGGCAUGAAAAAGACAUCAUCCCGCCAACAUCGCACACGCACGCACGCACACACGCCAAAAAUAAAAGAUUUGCUGAGUAUGCCUGCAGAGAAAAGAAUCUCAGAGUAGUAUGUGGUGCCGUGCACGUACUCUGAUAAUAAGUUUUACUUUGAACUUUGGCUGGCGGUGAGGGGGUUUGGGAGGUCUCUGUCUUGGCAAUGACUAGGCCUCAAGCCAGGGUGUGGCCUGUAUACAGCCGGCAGGAGAGGGGCUUCGAAGCCAGCGGGGGCAGUGUGGCACAGCCUAGAUCAGUGCUGCCCCCCAGUGUUCACCCGGCAGACAGCAAGCUCUGCUACUGCCGACUGUAGAUUGAUGGCUGGGGUUUGGACUCUUAUUGCGUGGCUGUGACACCACUCAUGCUAUCUUGUGCAACCGUGGAUUCUCUGUCUUGUCCCCAUGGUAACGCUGUCUCGCUCGGUUGUAUUCCUGGGUGUUUAUGUAUGGUUGAAUGACAAUUAAACCUGAACUGAGUUGAGGUGUGCGGGGCGAGUUAUAUUACAGACUGGUGGUGUCCGGAACGGGCUGCCAGGAAUGGUGGCGGGGGCAGAUUAUAACAGUGGUGCUCGGGAGGC